rnacentral:misc_RNA from 1 species
CUCAAACCCUAGAUUGGACCUUUGCAGUUACGCAGCCGAGGACACUAGAAAUUUCCCCCUCGCAGAUCUCAUAAGAUAAAACGAUGUCGGUUGGAGAGGUUGCUUGCACUUACGCUGCUUUGAUUCUCCAUGAUGAUGGUAUUCCCGUCACUGUAUCCUUGAAAACCUAGGCUAUUCAAUUAAGUCUAACUUUUUUAUAAGUUAGGUCUAGUGAUUCUAAGAUUCAGCAUUGACUUUUUUUCCCUUUGGCUUCAAUUAUUUAGUUUGAUUCAUAUUUUGACCUAUAUGGUUUGAAUCUGAAUUUGUAUUAGGGAGUUGUGUAUUCCUUUUCUCUCUUUCCUUUGGGUAUACCAUUGGCUAUUGGGUGGUUAUUUGGUUUUUUGGUUGCUGAGAAACUAGAGUUAACCAAAAGGGUUGUUUGCAUCUCAUUUAACACAUUGACAGUGAAGUUAACAAUUUUCCUCUGGGAUAAAUAUAUUAUAUUAUGUUGGUGGAUUUUUUUUUUCCUGUAACUUUUGUUAAAAGGCAGAGAAGAUCGCACUGUUGGUCAAAGCAGCCAAUAUAACAGUCGAAUCUUACUGGCCAAGCUUGUUUGCCAAGCUAUUGGAGAAGCGUAAUGUUGAUGAUCUCAUCUUGAAUGUUGGCUCUGGUGGUGGUGGUGCUCCAGUCGCUGCUGCAGCCCCUGCUGGUGGUGGUGGUGGUGGUGCGGCUGCAGCUGCAGCUCCUGCAGCCGAAGAGAAGAAGAAGGAAGAACCUGAGGAGGAGAGUGAUGACGACAUGGGAUUCAGCUUGUUUGAUUAGGAGCUCUUUUCAGUUUGCCAAAGUCCUAUGUUGGUCUUAGUCUUAGUAGUUCAACAAUAGUUUCAUUUUGGAUCUUUUGGCUAUUCAGGUGUUGGUAUAAAUACUCCUAUUUCAUAAAAGUAGUGUCUGGGAAUAUAUUUUUUUUGAACAUUAUUUGCUUAAGCCUCAAGAUAUAUGAAUUUUGAGUUAAUUGAAUUAUGAAUUGAGUUAUUGAUUCAUGAAUUGAUUUGUUUUAAAUGGUGCAAUGGAUUUAAAGUUUAUAUUGCCUCUGCUUAAUGAUUGGAUAUGGAUGUAGAAUCUGGUUUCUGCUUUGUUGCAUGAUAUUAUGGUUCUUGAUGUUUAGUAGAUUGACAUCGAAAUUUUUGUUGGUGCACUUGUAUGAGCAUUGUAUAUCAGAUGGUAGUCCUUGGGAAAAUAAUGAUACUAAUUUAUUGACUCCUAUGAGAAUUGAUAUUCUGGCAAACUUUGUUUCAAUUAUAGGACGUGCAGGCAGAUGACAUUUCAGAAAUUUUUUUGGAAAUUGUAAUCCAUGUAUUAGAAUUGCACAGGUUUGUUUCUAGGUGUUUUGUGAAUUGUCAUUACCCUCAUGAACGCUUUCUUGUUCACCAGCAGUAUUUUAUAGCCAAGAGUUAUGGGGGCUUCUGGGCUGCUGCAUAUUCUUAUAACAUACAAUGCUAUUGCGGUAUAUAUAACACUGAAUUGGGUGUUACUGGAGUCUAUUUGUAUUGAUAAAAAGCCGCUUGCUACUAUUAGAAACUGUAACGAAGUUGAUUAAGAAAUAUGUAGUUUAAUGCAUAUGCUAGUAUUGUGCCUUUUUCUUUUGUUUAAGCUAGAAAUUUUCUUUUGUUAUGAAUGAAAAUUUAUUACGAAUUUUAAGUUGUUGAACUCCUUUAGCAAUAAAGUGCCGUCUCGAUGCUACGCGUUGAUGGUGAGGGGGAAAUGGGAUUUGGUAUCAAAGAAAAUAAUUGGUCGGAACAAGGGGAUUUCUGAAAUUCAUUUGUAAUAUCUUUUUCAUUUGGUAUGUAUUAUCCAUCAUAUGUUUGUAAGUCUUAAAAAGAUUCGAAAGGAGUCUUCGGUAUUUU